rnacentral:rRNA from 1 species
GAUGAACGCUGGCGGCGUGCUUAACACAUGCAAGUCGAACGAUGAAGCCCAGCUUGCUGGGUGGAUUAGUGGCGAACGGGUGAGUAACACGUGAGUAACCUGCCCUUGACUCUGGGAUAAGCGCUGGAAACGGCGUCUAAUACCGGUUACGAGCUUCCACCGCAUGGUGAGUUGCUGGAAAGAAUUUCGGUCAAGGAUGGACUCGCGGCCUAUCAGGUAGUUGGUGAGGUAACGGCUCACCAAGCCGACGACGGGUAGCCGGCCUGAGAGGGUGACCGGCCACACUGGGACUGAGACACGGCCCAGACUCCUACGGGAGGCAGCAGUGGGGAAUAUUGCACAAUGGGCGCAAGCCUGAUGCAGCAACGCCGCGUGAGGGACGAAGGCCUUCGGGUCGUAAACCUCUUUUAGCAGGGAAGAAGCGAAAGUGACGGUACCUGCAGAAAAAGCACCGGCUAACUACGUG